UCUACAACUUUUAUAUUGGUAGUUUCUCCAUCCGAGGUCAUUUACAAAAUUUGAAUUUCAAAUUUGAGAAAUUCAAACGUAGUUUUCGACGACAAGAUGAUUUUAAAUGAAAAAAUUAUCAACUAUCAAGUUUUAUAACUUUUCGAGAUCUACAACUUUCAUUUUGAUGGUUUUUUCAUAGGCGUUUUUUUACUUGGUCCUGCCAAUUUAUUUUUACAGACGUUCUUUAAUUGAAACCGCCAGUAAAAAUUAAAUUCCGUCGCCAGCAUAGAGCUUCUUUGUACUAGUGUAUGUUAUUGAAACUUUUUAAUAGUUAUUUUCACUUUUACAAUUUUUUUAAAAAAUAAAAUAGACAAAAACAUGUGUUGACGUGGCCUAUAUCAAGUGCAAUAGGUGGCCCAACUACAAGACAAAAAAAUAUAAAAAAAACAUAUGUUCACGUGGCAAAAGACCUUGUUAACAUGGAAAGUUUUUUAAACAAUUUAAUAAAAUAACUUGUGACACACAAAUAGGCCUUGUGACAUAGAAAAUAUUGUCACU
rnacentral:lncRNA from 1 species